GGGCCCGUAGCUUAGCCAGGCAGAGCGGCGGGCUUUUAACCCGUAGGUCCCGGGUUCAAAUCCCGGCGGGCCCGCCA
rnacentral:tRNA from 1 species